rnacentral:rRNA from 1 species
GACGAACGCUGGCGGCGUGCUUAACACAUGCGAGUCGAACGGAAAGGCCCUGCUUUUGUGGGGUGCUCGAGUGGCGAACGGGUGAGUAACACGUGAGUAACCUGCCCUUGACUUUGGGAUAACUUCAGGAAACUGGGGCUAAUACCGGAUUGGAGCUCCUGCUGCAUGGUGGGGGUUGGAAAGUUUCGGCGGUUGGGGAUGGACUCGCGGCUUAUCAGCUUGUUGGUGGGGUAGUGGCUUACCAAGGCUUUGACGGGUAGCCGGCCUGAGAGGGUGACCGGCCACAUUGGGACUGAGAUACGGCCCAGACUCCUACGGGAGGCAGCAGUGGGGAAUAUUGCACAAUGGGCGGAAGCCUGAUGCAGCAACGCCGCGUGCGGGAUGACGGCCUUCGGGUUGUAAACCGCUUUCGCCUGUGACGAAGCGUGAGUGACGGUAAUGGGUAAAGAAGCACCGGCUAACUACGUG